rnacentral:rRNA from 1 species
UACGGGGGGGGCAAGCGUUGUUCGGAAUUACUGGGCGUAAAGGGUUUGUAGGUGGCUUGUUAAGUCAGACGUGAAAUCCCUCAGCUUAACUGGGGAACUGCGUCUGAUACUGGCGAGCUUGAGUGCAGGAGAGGAACGCGGAAUUCCAGGUGUAGCGGUGAAAUGCGUAGAUAUCUGGAGGGAUACCGGUGGCGAAGGCGGCAUCCUGGACCGACAUUGGCGCUGAGGAGCGAAAGCUAGGGGAGCAAACGGG